rnacentral:rRNA from 1 species
ACCAACAAGCUUGCUUGUUGGGGUUGUAGGACACUCUAUACGGAGUUACAAAGGACGACAUUAGACGAAUCAUCUGGAAAGAUGAAUCAAAGAAGGUAAUAAUCCUGUAGUCGAAAAUGUUGUCUCUCUUGAGUGGAUCCUGAGUACGACGGAGCACGUGAAAUUCCGUCGGAAUCUGGGAGGACCAUCUCCUAAGGCUAAAUACUCUCUAGUGACCGAUAGUGAACCAGUACCGUGAGGGAAAGGUGAAAAGCACCCCGGAAGGGGAGUGAAAUAGAACCUGAAACCGUGUGCUUACAAGUAGUCAGAGCCCGUUAAUGGGUGAUGGCGUGCCUUUUGUAGAAUGAACCGGCGAGUUACGAUUUGAUGCAAGGUUAAGCAGUAAAUGUGGAGCCGUAGCGAAAGCGAGUCUGAAUAGGGCGUUUAGUAUUUGGUCGUAGACCCGAAACCAGGUGAUCUACCCUUGGUCAGGUUGAAGUUCAGGUAACACUGAAUGGAGGACCGAACCGACUUACGUUGAAAAGUGAGCGGAUGAACUGAGGGUAGCGGAGAAAUUCCAAUCGAACCUGGAGAUAGCUGGUUCUCUCCGAAAUAGCUUUAGGGCUAGCCUCAAGUGAUGAUUAUUGGAGGUAGAGCACUGUUUGGACGAGGGGCCCCUCUCGGGUUACCGAAUUCAGACAAACUCCGAAUGCCAAUUAAUUUAACUUGGGAGUCAGAACAUGGGUGAUAAGGUCCGUGUUCGAAAGGGAAACAGCCCAGACCACCAGCUAAGGUCCCAAAAUAUAUGUUAAGUGGAAAAGGAUGUGGCGUUGCCCAGACAACUAGGAUGUUGGCUUAGAAGCAGCCAUCAUUUAAAGAGUGCGUAAUAGCUCACUAGUCGAGUGACACUGCGCCGAAAAUGUACCGGGGCUAAACAU